CUAGAGUUUGAUCCUGGCUCAGGACGAACGCUGGCGGCGUGCAUAACACAUGCAAGUCACGGGGGCCAGCAAUGGCAACCGGCGAACGGGUGCGUAACACGUAAGCAACCUACCUCGAUGUGGGGCAUAGCCGGCCUAACGGCCGGGUAAUUCCGCAUGUGAUCCUUGGGGGGCAUAUCCUGGGGAUGAAACCAGUAAUGGGCAUUGAGAGGGGCUUGCGGCCUAUCAGCUUGUUGGCGAGGUAACGGCUCACCAAGGCGACGACGGGUAGCUGGUCUGAGAGGAUGGCCAGCCACAUUGGGACUGAGAAACGGCCCAGACUCCUACGGGAGGCAGCAGUGGGGAAUCUUGCGCAAUGGCCUAACGGCUGACGCAGCGACGCCGCGUGAGGGAUGAAGCUCCUCGGAGUGUAAACCUCUGUUGCCCGGGACGAAUAGCGGAUUUUUCCGACUUGACGGUACCGGGUGAGGAAGCACCGGCUAACUCCGUGCCAGCAGCCGCGGUAAUGCCCAAUCGCC
rnacentral:rRNA from 1 species